CGCAGCGACAGGCUGAAGGGCUCCUCCAGCGCGGCCAGAGCGGACACCGGGGCCGAGGAGGCGCCGAGAGCGAGCGAGGGCUGCUAGCACGUUUUCACCUCUCAAUACAAGAAGCUACUUCAUAGAAGAAGCAAACUUAGAAUACAUUUAAGUUUGCGUUCAAACUCUUCACUUCCCAAUACCAGAGUCUCUGGAUUCACGGGUCUGGAUAGGUGGCCAUGAUGACGUCUGGAGAUUUGUUCUAAGUGCCGAGACCAGAAGCUACAAGCCAAAAUUAAGCCCAACAUGGUCCCUUCUACCUCUGCUUUUCCUGUUUUGCCUCCUGGCUAUUUUCGGAGGAGUUGGAUCUUUCAGUUACUUGUUUCAAUCAAGAAAAAUGACAGAGAUGCUACUUACCCAUAAAAAGGACCGAAGUAAUGGCAUUUGCAGUAACCUGGAUAGAAUUGGAGACUGUUAAUCUAAGUGAAGUAACUCAGGAAUGGAAAGCCAAACAUUGUACGUUCUCAGUCAGAAGUGGGAUCUAAGCUAUGAGGACAUAAAGGCAUAAGACUAAUACAACGGUGUUUGGAGACUCAGGUGAAGGGGUGUAAGGGGGUGAGGGAUAAGAGUACACAUUGGGUACAGUGUACACUGCUCAGGUGAUGGGUGCAUCAAAAUCUCAGAAAUCACCACUAAAGAAUCUAUUCAUAUACAAAAAUUAAUUAAUUAAUUAGUUAAAAAAUAACUGAUCUGCUGUCACUCUAGAUUAUAUUUGUCUUUUUUGGAGUUCCACAUAAAUGGAAUCAUACAAUGUACUAUUUUGUGUCUGAUUUCUUUCACUCAGCAUAGUUUUACGAUUUAACCAUGUAGUUACAGAUAUCAUUCCUUGUUAUUGUUGAGUAUUCCAUUGUAGAGAUACACUACAAUUUGUUUAUUUGUUUAUCUAUUAAUAGGCAUUUGAGUUGUCUCCAGUUUGGGAUUCCUACAAAUAAAGCUGUUAAGAACAUUAAAAAAAAAUGACCGGGAAAAAUUUCAAUCAUUUUAGGAGGUUUACUUGUCAAAGUUAAGGACGAGCACUGGGGAGACAGGCCUAUGCCUUUCUCUGAAGCUGAUUUUGAGGGCUCCAAAUUUAGAGGGGAAAAUAUUGAGAAAUACACAAUUUUCAUGUAAGAGGAGGGCGGGGGAAAAUAGUCAUUCAUGCCUUUGU
rnacentral:lncRNA from 1 species